AACGAACGCUGGCGGCAUGCCUAACACAUGCAAGUCGAACGAGAUCUUCGGGUCUAGUGGCGCACGGGUGCGUAACGCGUGGGAAUCUGACCUUUGGUUCGGAAUAACAGUUGGAAACGACUGCUAAUACCGGAUGAUGACGAAAGUCCAAAGAUUUAUCGCCAGAGGAUGAGCCCGCGUAGGAUUAGCUAGUUGGUGUGGUAAAGGCACACCAAGGCGACGAUCCUUAGCUGGUCUGAGAGGAUGAUCAGCCACACUGGGACCGAGACACGGCCCAGACUCCUACGGGAGGCAGCAGUGGGGAAUAUUGGACAAUGGGCGAAAGCCUGAUCCAGCAAUGCCGCGUGAGUGAUGAAGGCCUUAGGGUUGUAAAGCUCUUUUACCCGGGAUGAUAAUGACAGUACCGGGAGAAUAAGCUCCGGCUAACUCCGUGCCAGCAGCCGCAGUAA
rnacentral:rRNA from 1 species